UAUUUUACAAGUUUCCAACUGCAUCACAUAAAAUAGUUCAAAGGCAAAAAUGGAUUGCUGCUGUGAAAAGAAAAAAUGGACUCCAAAAACUCAUCAUGUAAUAUGUAAUGCUCAUUUCAUUGGCAAGAAAAAAUCAGAUGAUCCUGCGAGUCCAAGCUACGCGCCAACUCUAUUCCCUCCAG